CUGCCUCAGCCUUCUGGGUAGCUGGGACUAUAGUUUCACACACAGGACUGUGGAGAACCAGGCCCAGGAAUGCAGCCAUUAGGAGGAACACCUCAUCAGAGCCCCAGGAGCAAAGCUUAGCACUCCCUCCUGGCUGGAAGUCUGCGGGGGCAGGGUUCGGUGAGAAACAAAGAGCAAAUGAGGAAAACAAACGGCUCAGGGCCUAGGAGGGAAUCAGAGUGUGACCUGAGAGAGAGAAAGUUCUGGGGGUGUUUCCACGAAUGACUCACAGCUGAAGCGUUUCACCUCUGCGCAAAGACAUUCCUCUUUGACGGGGCCACUCGGCUACGCGUGCACCAAUCCACCUACGACCAGCCCUCAACGUGCUGGGCCAGGGGCAAGCAGCAGCUGUCAACCCGGACUCGUCUGCCAAACGGAUUUACUCAGAAAGAUGUCACCUCUCAGGCCAGCACACAGAGAGGGAAAAAUAAUCCCUGCCUAUGAAAUGGCUUCUCUGUGAAAAGUGCCUGUUAUAAAAAGGCAAAUGCCGCAUGUUGAUAAAGCUCAAGUCAUGACUGAUUGAUGUUGGGAGGAUAUGAAGAGACAGUCUGCACGUGUGUGAUGGGGGCAAGGGUGAGAGAAGGGACUCUAAUUCUCAUCUUAUAUUUCGGGAAGUCAGAGAUCAUGCCCAAAAUGGCAAAAAAAAACAAAAAAAAAAAAAACAAAA